rnacentral:tRNA from 2 species
GGUCCAUUCGUCUAGUGGUUAGGACGUCAGGUUUUCAUCCUGGUAACAGGGGUUCGAUUCCCCUAUGGACUAC